GUCUGUGCCACAUGCUAUUGCUCUCUCUACUCGUUUGCUUCUAGGUCAACCUGUUCUCGUUAAGCCAUCUGAAGCAGAAAAAAAUCUCGUUCAGUCAAAUUCUACAGUGGCAUCGGGUGUUGCUGGAGCGGCGUCUGACAGAAAAAUUUAUGUUGGGAACCUACACUACAACAUAACUGAAGCCCUUCUUCGGCAGAUCUUCGAAGUUUUUGG
rnacentral:misc_RNA from 1 species